UACGUAGGGACCAAGCGUUGUUCGGAUUUAUUGGGCGUAAAGCGCGUGUAGGCGGCCAGGUAGGUCCGUUGUGAAAACUCGAGGCUCAACCUCGAGACGUCGACGGAAACCAUCUGGCUAGAGUCCGGUAGGGGGAUCUGGAAUUCCUGGUGUAGCGGUGGAAUGCGCAGAUAUCAGGAGGAACACCGGUGGCGAAGGCGGUGAGCUGGGCAGUUGCUGACACUGGAGGCGCGACAGCGUGGGGAGCAAACAGG
rnacentral:rRNA from 1 species